rnacentral:rRNA from 1 species
UACGUAGGGUGCAAGCGUUAAUCAGAAUUACUGGGCGUAAAGCGUGCGCAGGCGGUGAUGUAAGACAGGUGUGAAAUCCCCGGGCUCAACCCGGGAACUGCGUCCGAUACUGGAAGGCUUGAAUCCGGGAGAGGGAUGCGGAAUUCCAGGUGUAGCGGUGAAAUGCGUAGAUAUCUGGAGGAACACCGGUGGCGAAGGCGGCAUCCUGGACCGGCAUUGACGCUGAGGAGCGAAAGCUAGGGGAGCAAACGGG